rnacentral:tRNA from 1 species
GUCCAGAGAUGGGAAUCGAACCUAUAGUGUUCCGCUUACCGAGCAGAUGCCAUGUCCACUAGGCUACCCUGGA